rnacentral:rRNA from 1 species
GACGAACGCUGGCGGCGUGCCUAACACAUGCAAGUCGAACGAGACCUUGGGGUCUUGUGGCCCAGGAGUGGGGAAGGCGUGGGAAGCUGCACGUAGGUUCGGAAUAACUCCCCGAAAGGGGUGCUAUUGCCGGAGAAUGUCUUCGGACCAAUGGUUUAUUGACCUUGGAGGGUCGCUCGUUGAAUUAGCUGGUUGGUAGGGUAAAAGCCGACCAAGGCGAGGAUGCAGAGCUGGUCUGAGAGGAUGAUCAGCCACACUGGGACUGAGACACGGCCCGGACUCGUACGGGAGGCAGCAGUGGGGAAUGUUGGACGCUGGGCGGAAGCCUGAACCAGCAAUGCCGCGUGGGUGAUGAAGGCCUUAGGGUUGUAAAGCUCUUUUACCCGGGAUGGUAAUGACGGUACCGGGAGAAUAAGCUCCGGCUAACUCCGU